CAGUGGUUGGCCUGACUGAGGGGAGGGACUGGGAACGGGGAAAUGUAAGAAAAUGCAGCUUGAAAAGGCAGCGUGUGAAGGAGACCUGCCCGGUACACGGCAGCGUGGACCCCCAAAAAGACUCGGACCAGCGCGGCGACCGUGUCGUUCACUCCGGAAGCGCCUCCCACCGGCCCGCACUUCGCACGCCGGUGCCCCGCCCACCGCGCCAGCUGCAGGCCAGCACAUCUCCUAUAGAAAGAAAAGCCUCCCAUUGUGAGUUCAGCCAGCUUCAAGCAGGACCUUCCAACCCUGGGGCCCCCCCAAACUGCCUUUCCCAGGUUCCAGCCAAUAUGGUGGUAUAAGGAAGGGCCUGAGAAUCUCAGAGGAAACUUCAAGGCAUAGGUGGCACAUAUGAGUCUGAAUCAGCCUCAUCACCAGAGAUCUGGGGAAAGUAAGAAUCCAGGAAGCUGAGGCACAAAGCACUCACCCUUGGAGGAGGAAGGUCCACAGAAGCAGCAAGGUGGAGAUACAAUUGGCAAUGAUCCACAUCAUUAGGUGGGAGUGACUUGAAGGCAGAGACUGUGUUCCUACUGCCCAGCACAAAGCUCAGCAAAUGCUUAUCAAUGGAAUGAACUCUGCCCUUUUUGAGUGCCCCUGCAGGUGGCUGCCUCUUCCCAGAAGCUGUCCUCACCUCUAGGAACCAGGCCCCAGCAUUGAGUCUCUUCAGUUCAGCCCAGGAGAAGUCACUGCUGUGGGCUGUGAUUCGGGCUGGAAACACAGAGGCUACAUCCGUGGUCCUGCUCAGCAAGAAACUUGAAAUCCAGAGAAGUCAUUAAAGAACCCUUCUGGCUGCAACCUCAAAGCAUGUCCCAAGCCAGACUGGGGUAGAGAUGAUGACUCCAACAUCAGUGACCCUCUUCUUCAAUAGGGGAGCAGCCAGAGAAGAAGCUAGUAUUGCUGGCCAGAGCUCGUUUCUUUUUCUUCCCUGGAGCUUUACUUUCUUGGAAUUCUGUUGCUACAUGUUUCAACUCUGGGAAGUCAAAGGAGGAGGAAGCUGGAGCAGUCUUCUUUAACAGCACCUGCUCCACAUCACACAUCUCUUUCAGUAUCUAGGAAGGACAGAGACAGGUAUGAAUAGACCCUGAAAAGCGCAGAAGCUCAACCCGGCCGAGCCACUACAAAUGCUCAACACACUCCCAAUAGUAUGAGGUGUCCCUAACAUUGCUCUAUGGAAAAAAAAAAAGACCCUAGUCUAUGCCUGAUUCCCAG